rnacentral:rRNA from 1 species
GCAGUCGAACGAGAAGGUGUAGCAAUACACUUGUACAGUGGCGAACGGGUGAGGAAUGCAUGGGUAACCUACCCUCGAGUGGGGAAUAACCAGCCGAAAGGUUGGCUAAUACCGCGUACGCUUCCGGGUCUCCGGACUCGGAAGGAAAGUCAUACCAUGGGUAUGACGCUCAAGGAUGGGCUCAUGUCCUAUCAGCUUGUUGGUGAGGUAACGGCUCACCAAGGCAACGACGGGUAGCUGGUCUGAGAGGACGAUCAGCCACACUGGCACUGCGACACGGGCCAGACUCCUACGGGAGGCAGCAGUAAGGAAUAUUGCGCAAUGGGCGAAAGCCUGACGCAGCGACGCCGCGUGGGGGAUGAAGGUCUUCGGAUUGUAAACCCCUUUUGGGAGGGAAAAUGGGACGAGCAAUCGUCCGGAUGGUACCUCCAGAAAAAGCCACGGCUAACUUCGUGCCAGCAGCCGCGGUAAUACGAAGGUGGCAAGCGUUGUUCGGAUUUACUGGGCGUACAGGGAGCGUAGGCGGUUUGGUAAGCCCUCCGUGAAAUCUUCGGGCUCAACCCGGAAAGUUCAGAGGGGACUGCCAGGCUAGAGGACGGGAGAGGAGCGCGGAAUUCCCGGUGUAGCGGU